CUGGUGGGACCUUGGGUGGCUGACCUGUGACAGCGCCUGGGUGCUGAGGAGGCUUCUUCUCUCAGGAAGAGGCACAGCAAUAAUCUAUUUUCCCAAAUUCCACACCCUUGACUGAUGCUUUCAGCCUCACUUAAAUUAUUGCCUCGUUCUUUUGAUUGCUACACAAACCUUUGAAAAUAAACCGGAACAGCAAAUGACAUGGAGAUAAACCAAUGCCAGGAAAUGAAAGCCCAGGGAUGAGAUGAUUUUUAAGAGUUGAACUGAGCUGCAAGCAUGUGGACCAUGUAAGUGUUAACAGAGGCAGACAGAGAAGAGAGACCUGCCAUGAAGUGCUAUGGUGGGAGUUGUGUCAGUUCGGGAGUGGAGGAGUCCCAGGUGGCCCCAGAAGAAGAAGCCUCUGAACAAAGAAGACAAUGCUUGGGUUAUGGUGGAGGGGACAUGGAAGGGUCUGGAAUGCUGGAAGGAGCCAAGAACAGACGCCAUCUUGGUGAUGUGUUUCAUCUUCAGAGAGACCCAUCUGGUCAAAUAUUUGUGUAUAUAUGGAAAAUUUUAGGUCAUUUGUUAAAAGGAGCUCAUGAAUAUAUGUCCUUGACUUCCCAGGGAUGGAAAAAACUAUUUUCUCCCCCAAAGAACUUCCAAAUAUUGCUUCUAGCCUAUGCUCCUCAUCAGUGUCCAUAUCUCUCGGAUGUCUCUAGUUUUGGUUGA
rnacentral:lncRNA from 1 species